AGCACCCACUUUUACUUGAGGAACCCCCUCCCGCAUCGGCGACCGUUUGGUGGCACUGUCAGUCAAGAGGGUCUGCCCGCCCAGAUGCUGGUCAUGUGACCCAGGCUAGGCCAAUCAGAUUCCCUCUCCCCGGAACGAGCCCAAAGGGGAUCCUGCAGAGAAGAAAAAAUUGUAAAAGUGCCUUGAAGAGUUUUGUCAGUUCCUGUUGCCUAGAUCUUUGGAGCAGCUCUUUCUAAAGUGCCCUGCAAAAGGAGUCAAGAGGCUGUGCCUCUGGCAUCCCAACCAAACUGGACAUGGAAGCCUGCUGGCAAGACUGUCUUGAGGCUCGCUGUGGCUGCUGCAUGGAGAAAUGGAUGCAGGGCUGCACAAGGACCAAUGAGAGGAGAGGCACAGAGACAGUCAGGAACCCAGUCCGGCCACCACGAGUGACACAAUGAUGGUCCCCAUCGGGGCAGUGGGGAUGCAGAUAGGAGAAGGCUGCAAGACAGAGCUCAGACACUGAUGUAUUGGCUCUGACACAAAUCAGAUAAAAUAAUUUGGACAUCUUAAUGCCAGAGGCCCUUCCAUCAAAUAACAGCCAGCUUUUCAGAGACCACACGUUGGCUCCUGACAGUGACAAAAUUGGUGUCGCCACAGAAGUCCCAGAGCAGGGACUUGGGUAUGUUCCAGUAGAGCAGAGAGGAGAAGGAAAAUGUAUGUUCCUUCCCAAAUGUCCAGCAACAAAUGACUGCCGAGUGAGAAAGAAAUUUAGCCAAAGUGCAGAAGGAUGGUCUGGCCACACUGCAGACCCUUGAGAAGUGAGAUGUUAUUUAUGGAGACAGUGACUUAUUCUCCUAAACAACCAUAAUGUCCUGACCUGUCUGAUUUCCGUGAAAACCUCUAGUUCAACUUCCAAUUUGAAGUUACAAAAAUGAGCAUGGGUCCUUCAGGAAUUCAGAUUUGAUGUGAAGUAUAUCCAAAGACCUGCCAACAGAUGUUACAGCAUCUUGGAAAUGUUCAAGACUCGUGCCUGCUGACAGAAGCGUUAAGUAGAAUCACUGUUCUGAUUUUUUUUAAGCUAGGAUGGGGGAUUGUGCUUGUCCUGGGGUGACCUUCAGGACUCUCCUCUGUUCCUCACAAGAAACAAUAAUCACAGUGAUGAUGCUAAAAACAGAACACAACAUGGGGCGCCUGGAUGGCUCAGUCGGUUGGGCGUCCGACUUCGGCUCAGGUCACGAUCUCGCGGUCCGUGGGUUCGAGCCCCGUGUCAGGCUCUGAGCUGACUGCUCAGAGCCUGGAGCCUGUUUCGGAUUCUGUGUCUCCCUCUCUCUCUGACCCUCCCCCGUUCAUGCUCUGUCUCUCUCUGUCUCAAAAAUAAAUAAAUGUUAAAAAAAAAAAAUUUUUUAAACAGAACACAACAAAGCUCCCACUUCACUUACAUGUACAAUAAUCCUAUAGACUUAUGACCCCCAUUGUUAGAUAUGAAGAAAGUGAAUCUCACGAAGUAAAAUAAUUUACCAGUAUCAUACAAGGAAGCAACAGAGAUGGGUCUAAUACAAAAUCAAAAUCUGAACUGUGGAUCUGCAAACAAUGGCCUGAGGGCAAAACCCCAGCUACCACUUGUUUUUGUAAAUAAAGUUUUAUUGGAACAUA